rnacentral:rRNA from 1 species
GACGAACGCUGGCGGCGUGCCUAAUACAUGCAAGUAGAACGCUGAAGGAGGAGCUUGCUCUUCUGGAUGAGUUGCGAACGGGUGAGUAACGCGUAGGUAACCUGCCUGGUAGCGGGGGAUAACUAUUGGAAACGAUAGCUAAUACCGCAUAACAGUAGAUGUUGCAUGACAUUUACUUAAAAGGUGCAAUUGCAUCACUACCAGAUGGACCUGCGUUGUAUUAGCUAGUUGGUGGGGUAACGGCUCACCAAGGCGACGAUACAUAGCCGACCUGAGAGGGGGAUCGGCCACACUGGGACUGAGACACGGCCCAGACUCCUACGGGAGGCAGCAGUAGGGAAUCUUCGGCAAUGGACGGAAGUCUGACCGAGCAACGCCGCGUGAGUGAAGAAGGUUUUCGGAUCGUAAAGCUCUGUUGUAAGAGAAGAACGAGUGUGAGAGUGGAAAGUUCACACUGUGACGGUACCUUACCAGAAAGGGACGGCUAACUACGUG